rnacentral:lncRNA from 1 species
UCCCGGAACUAGAUACCAAAGUACCUUUCUGACGGACGUAGUACUCUACCGGAUCUCCUUGAUGGUGCUUUUACAAUGAAUUCUGGAUUUGAUCUAAUCAAAUUUGAUUCUAUGGGUUCACUAAAUUGUGUUGGUUCUUCUACCUGUCAAAUUUCAUAAGUUCCAUAUUAAACGCAUCAGUACCUUCACCAAGGUACUCUUUUUUCUGAAAGAAAUGCUGAACAAC